rnacentral:lncRNA from 1 species
AGCCUCCUGAGUUGCUGGGAUUACAGGAGGGUGCCAUCAUGCCCAGCAUAAAAUAACAAUUUUAUUAUGAUGAUAAAAAUGCCUUUCAGUGGGGCUGAGGUUGUAGCUCAAUGGUACACCGCUUGCCUAGCACAUGUGAGGCACUGGGUGCCAUCCUCAGCACCAAAUAAAAAUAAAUGAAUAAGGGCUGGGGUUGUGGCUCAGUGGUAGAGUGUUUGCCUCACAUGUUCGAGGCACUGGGUUCAAUUUUCAGCAUUGCAUAUAAAUAAAUGAGUAAAAUAAAGGGCCAUCAAAUGAAUGAAUAAAAUAAAGGCAUUUUGUCCACCUACCACUAAAAAAAAAGCAGUUCAGUGGUAGAGCACUUGCCUAACACUGAGAGGCCUUCAGUUCAAUCCUCCAUACCACAAUAUAAAGAAAAAAAGUAAAUUUGACACCAUUAAGUGUUAGCAAAGGAUGUAUCGAAAUAUAAAUUAUUUUCCACCAGAGAAGUGGGGAGGAUUAUAAACUGGUAAAUCCAUUCGGAAACCAAAAGGGAUUAUGCCUCUUGGCCCUAUAUAUAUGCCACACAACUGAAUUUAUGUUCCAGAAUAAUUCUUGCUCAAGUCCAUAAAAGAACAUAUGUACCACACUGUUUAUUGUGACACAGCUGGAGGCAACCCAGGUGUUUAUCAUUAGGGUAAUAAAAGUUAAAUGUAAUGGAUGUUUAUUAAGGAAUGACAUAAUAUAGUAAUAAUGUACAGAAACCUCAAGAAGUAUUUAGCAAGAAGAUUUAUAGUUAACACUACUUCCAAAAACUAACCAAAAAUACAAAAAAAAAAAGUGGUGUUUUUCCAAGGAUACUUCAGAAUUUAGAGCAUAAUAAACACAAUAGAGUGGGUAGUAAUGCAGGGGAGGAGAAUGAGUAGAGAUGAGGGAUGAAGGAGGGAAGUAAAAAUAAAGACUGUGGGCUUGCACUGAACAUAAGGCUCUAUAAAGAGAAGGCUAUGAGAUAAAAAUAAUUUUUAAGUCAGUACUCUAAGUAUGUUAAAAUUGGUCAUGGAGAAAAUAUUUUCUAAUUUUUUACUCUUCUGUAUUUAAAAAAAAAUUUAGGCCAGGGUUGUAGCUCAGUGGUAGGGCGCUUGCCUCGCAUGCGUGAGACCCGGGGUUCCAUCCUCAGCACCACAUAAAAAAUUAAAAAAUAAACAAAUAAAG